rnacentral:misc_RNA from 1 species
GAUCAUUACCCAAAUAUAACAGUUGGGCGCUCUCAAGGCGGCAGCUUCACGGCCGCCGCGUUGGGGUUGUCUGGCUCUAUAUUCACCCGUGUCUUUUGCGUACUACCUGUUUCCUUGGCGGGUUCGCCCGCCAAUAGGACCAACAUUUAAACCUUUUUCUUGUAAUUGCAAUCAGCGUCAGCAAAACAAUGUAAUAAAAUUACAACUUUCAACAACGGAUCUCUUGGUUCUGGCAUCGAUGAAGAACGCAGCGAAAUGCGAUAAGUAGUGUGAAUUGCAGAAUUCAGUGAAUCAUCGAAUCUUUGAACGCACAUUGCGCCCUUUGGUAUUCCAAAGGGCAUGCCUGUUCGAGCGUCAUUUGUACCCUCAAGCUUUGCUUGGUGUUGGGCGUUUUUUUUUGUCUUGGGGUCCGUCCCGAGACUCGCCUUAAAAUCAUUGGCAGCCGGCCUACUGGUUUCGGAGCGCAGCACAUUUUUGCGCUUUGUCCAGUUGCGGUCCGCGUCCAUGAAGCAAAUAUUCAAACGUUUGACCUCGGAUCAGGUAG